rnacentral:lncRNA from 1 species
UUUUUUUUUUUUUUUUUUUUUUGGUCUUUUUAGGGUCUCACUGUUGGCAUACGGAGGUUUCUAGGCUAGGAAUCCAGUCGGAGCUAUAGCUGCCAGCCUACGCCACAGCCACAGCAAUGCCAGAUCCGAGCCUCGUCUGUGACCUACACCAUAGCUCACGGCCACGCCGGAUCCUUAACCCACUGAGCGAGGCCAGGGAUUGAACCUGCAACCUCAUGGUUCCUAGUCGGAGUAGUUUCUGCUGCGCCACAGUGGGAACGCCCCUUUUUUCUUUGUUUUUUAAAUUCUGUCUUGGAAUCAUUAUUGCAUGGUUUUUGUGUGUGCUUUGUCUCCCUUCAUGCUUGUAGAGGUGCUGUGAGAUAGCGUUGUAUAGAAGCAGCGGUGCAUGGCUGUUGCUCUGCGUAGAUGGAGGCCGGGCAAGACCUGUGUGCUCUCUGUUCCACAAUGGCUGCUUCCUGCCUGCCUGUCCCGGGGCAGAGUGGGGGGUGUGUGUGUGGGUAAGUGGGUGCUCUGUGAUCUGGAGGAGGCAGAGAUAAGGGAAAGGGACAAUGGAGAAUAAGAAGCUUGGGGCUCUGAGGAGCUGCGGCCUAGGACGGGUGCGCUGCGGCAGGUGGCUGAGGUCUGGCCUUGAGUGAACUUUUUGCAUCGGAACAAAUAUAUUUGGUCAACUAAGCCCUAGUUCUGCCUUUAAUUCUUGAAUUAGAGGUCAGGCAUUCAUUUUUAAUAGUGUAUGGAAAUUCUGAUAAUGGGAAUAGAUUUCUUUCCUUUUAGUUUUCAAGAAGGAACUGAAAAACUGGAUUACACCCUGAUACUUCUGUAGGGUUGUACAAAAUAAGACAGAAUCUGGAUUCAUUUUGUGAUGGUGACUUUACCGAGGUAGAUAUUAUUAUUCUCCAUCAGAAUAUCUAGAAAUACUCUUCCAUUCUCAUUUUUGUCCUCUUAAACUGCUGGAGUGUGCAGAUAAGACAUUUCACAGGAUUGAGAUUUCCUUUGCUCACUUUGCUAAGCCCUGUGUUCUCUGGCUCUUGCAUGCCUGAUUUUUGCUGAUUGCAGGGUCUUAAUAAUGUUUUAAAUUUUCUUCUUUGUCCAAGGGUAUAACUUUACUGUGGAGGGCAAAAUCAUGAUUCUCCAUGGUCUAGGGCUUUUAGGCACUUCUAAACUCCUAAUUUUCAUUUAUGUGGCUUAGUUUCUCCAUUAGACCAUACCAUUAGGGAGUUGUCAUACAGGAGAAAAAGGCGGCUUGACCUUACGGCAGAAACAUCUAAAUGUUUGACAGAUAAAUUUUUUUGGAAAGAAAGUGUGUUUUAGAUAGAGCAUCUAAGCUUUCAGUGCAUUGUAGGGAGAAAGUCCUCUUGAGGCUUCACCCAGUGGUACCAAAGCUGAGACCUCAUGGAGGGUGGCUCUAGGCUCAGUGAAGAGUAGAUUAGAUAAUUGCUUUUGCCCAGUCAACUCAGGCUUUUUUCUGUCUUUGAAUAAAAUAAGCACCAUUCCCUGACUGCUCUAGGAACCAAAUAAAACUUUCAAAAGAGCUGGUUUAGUAGAAAUAAUGUUUACUUUUCAUAGAUUUGUGUGUAUGUUUUUUAAAAAUUCAGUAAAUGGACACAAGACCGUUUGCUAAAAAGCUUGUAUCCAGAAAGGUGAUUUAGAAUUUUUUGUUCAUUUAUCAAAUACCUGAGUACCUCCCCUGUGUCCUGUGUUCUCACCAGACUCUAUGGGAGACUUGCAGAUGCAUCAUCGGAUGUUGACCCUGGUGACGUGGAGCUUGUCCCUCAGUGGGGAGGCAGAUGCUUGGGGCAGGAGGUCAGGUGCGAUCCAGUGUGGAGGAGAGAGCAGUGACCUCUCUCUGAAGGGGAGGGAAUUAGACAGGGUUGCAUGGAGAAGGAGGCAUUCGAUCUGAAUAUUGAAGUAAAGUCGUUUGGUGGGAAAUGAGCUUUUUCCGUAGGUUUUCUAGCACAGGAGUUACGUGGUUACAGUUGUGCUUUAAGAAAACUAUUUCUGGGAUGUGAUCAAAGAUAGAGACCAGAGACUGAGAGGAACCAAUGCAAAACUAACCUUUCUAAGUGGUAGUGGAAACAGAGGUAGAGUUCAUUGAACUUGGCAGUUGGAGCAAUGCAUGGUAUCAAAUGAGGUUUUGUUUUUUUUUUUUUAAGCCUCAAUAGGUAAUUAGGAGUAUGGCAAUGCCAUUAAAAUUUGGAAACACAGGAGGAGAAACUGAUUAGUAAGAAGAGAGUAGUAAAUAUAAUCUGCCAUUGAGAAAUUGGGUGAUUUUUUUUGUUGUCGUUAGGCCAAUGGGAAUAUUUAAAUAGACCUGGGAAGAAGCCAGGGUUGAAGAUAGGGAUAUUGAGAGUUGGGGCAGUUGGAGCCUUGAGAUGGAAUGAAAUUGCCAAAGUAUUUAGUAUCAAAUGUAUCUUUACCAAGAAUGUCACGUUGCAAAACCUGAAAAUCCUCUAGUUUUAGGACAGGAGUGCUCCAGAAGAGAGAGAGUAUUGUUUAAAGAACUCAAAUCAUUCUUUGAGCUUUUAUUUCUCUCUGGAAUUCUUUCAGUUUGACUCUCAUCUUGGGGAGAUAGUAAAAGCUAGUAGCUUUAAGCGUGCAAACGGAAAGAUAGGGUUUGAAUCCUUGUUCUGCCACCUACCUGCCAUGUAUCCUUGUCAGAGCUAUAGAUCUUCUUGUGCUUCAGUUUAUUCAUCUCUAAGAUGAAGGUGAUAAUGUGUACCUUAUAGGGUUGUUUCUGGAUUAUCCCAUCAUUUAGCCUGCUGCUUGGAGCAUACUAGGUGCUCCAUAAAUGGUAGCUAAUGUUAAUACUAGAUUCUUGCUGAUUCCCCUGCUUCUGAUCUUAAAGGGUACACUACUCCUUUUAACUCUGAAUUUGUACAGGCUUCCCCCUCCCAUUUUUUUCCACUCAGUACAGACAGACAGACAGACAGACAGACAGACAGACAGACACACACACACACACACACACACACACGGAGUUCCCUGGUGGCUCGGGUUAAGGAUCUGGCGUUGUCACUGCUGUGACUCAGGUUGCUGUUAUGGUGC